CAUGAACUUCCCUUAAAUGGCCUCACCUUUGCAGUUAAAGACAUGUGAGUUCCUCCACACAACUCUCAUUCCAAUCUGUAAUCUGAUUCAAUCAAUUUCUUUGAUUAAACUCAUAAUAUCACUCUUCUCCUAUGUGGGCACAUAGAAAAUCUGCAUACAAGUACUGUUUCUCUGUGUUCCGUACUCAUUCAUCAAUUUCAGAAACUGGGUUUUAUCUAUAUUCUCUUUUAAGAUUACACACAUGAUCAUAAUUCAAAUGAUUUUACUCCUUCCCCUUUGAGAAUUUGAAAUUUGUAGAGUCUGUUAUACUUGUUCUUAUGUGUUUCAACUCAUUGAUCAGUUUCAGCAACUGGGUUUUAUCCAAAUUGUUUUUACAUACUUCAAGUGAUUUUUCUCUAUUUCAUUUUUGGGGAAAUUUUGGAACAGAUUUGAUGUGGAUGGAUAUGUGACUGGGUUUGGGAAUCCUGAUUGGGCAAGGACUCAUCAGGCAGCCAUGUUGACGGCUCCGUCGGUUUUGGCUGUUCUAAAAGGAGGUGCCACAUGUGUUGGUAAGACUGUCAUGGAUGAAAUGGCAUACAGGUUAGAGUGCAGAACCCAAUUUGAAUUUUGCUCAUUUGGCUUAAAGGAUUAAAUCUUGUUGCAUGAGAUGCCUAUAAUUGUGAUGAAAUUUGAAGACUUAUCAAUUUUGGAACUCAGGAACGAAUAUCAGCUCAAAUUUUUUGUCAUGAAUCCAUUUUAGAAAUUGCUAUACUCUUCUUGAUGAACCAGUGCAUUUGAAUGCUAUCCAAUAAAAAGUCAAAUCAAUUCAAUCUCAGCUGAUUUCCAAAUGCUUUUCAAAUGGUUUAAGGCUGUCACCUGGUUUUUCAUCUUCACAUAAAGGUCUCUUGAAAAUUCAGGGCAUAUUUUUUUGAAUAAUGUGGCAGAAAUGACUAUUUUUUGGCAGUAUAAAUGGAGAAAACAAGCAUUAUGGCACACCCACAAAUCCACAGGCACCGGAUCGGGUACCUGGAGGAUCUUCUAGUGGAUCUGCUGUUGCAGUUGGUGCAAUGCUUGUGGAUUUCUCCCUAGGUAAGCUUUUAGUUUUCAUUUUUUUUCUUUUUUAUUUUUCUUAAAUCUUGGAGAACUUCUGAGCAAUUCUUUUUAUGAUGUUAAUUAGUUGAACCAGAGUUUUUCCUCCAUUACAGGUACUGACACUGGAGGAAGCGUAAGAGUCCCUGCAUCAUACUGUGGAAUCUUUGGCAUCCGGCCUUCACAUGGUGUUGUUUCUACUACAGGAGUCAUUCCUAUGGCACAAAGUUUUGAUACUGUAGGUAAGAACCAACAAUAUAAUGACUUAAUACCUUCUGCCUGAUUUUCUCCAAUUAAAUUGUCUGAAUGACAACCAAUGCGACAUUUCAAACAUCUUUCUGCUAUGAAGCUGAACAUGUAGCUGAAUUCUCAUGAAAAUUUUCCCUUAUUUUACUUUUCUGGAAGGUAAUGUGUGUUGUGUUUAGUCUAAUGUUUCAUGAAUUAUGAGCUCCUAAACUUGUAGCACUCUUUCAAUUUUGAUCUCAUUUCUUUGACCCCAAGUUCACUCCCAGGAUGGUUUGCUAGGGAUCCUGAGAUCUUGAACAGAGUUGGACAUGUCUUGCUGCCAUUCCCUGAUGUUAAUCCUGUCAAACCUAGUCAGAUUAUCAUUCCUGAAGAUUGUUUCCGCCUCCUCAGCAUUCCAAUUGAUCGAGUAACUCAAGUUCUUAUUAAAUCAGUGGAGAAGCUAUUUGGGAGUAAGUAGUUUGACUAUAUACUACAAAACUCUACAUUUCAUUAUCAUGGAGUGAGAUGACACUUUCUGUAUUUACUAGUGCAGGUGAUAUUGUCAAGCAUGUAAGCCUUGGGGACUAUGUAGAGGACAAAGUUACAAGUUUGAAGCCUUUUAUGAGUAAAGAAAAUCAAACACAAGAGUACAAUAUACCAUCCUUGGCAGCCCUUUCAACUGCCAUGAGGUUGCUUCAAAGGUACAGGUCCUGAACCCUUUUCUGUUGGAUUCUUAGUGGAUUCAACAAUGUGCUUGAAUGAUAAUUGGAGUGCUGUUGAUGAUCUUGAAGCAUAGGUAUGAGUUCAAGAAUAACCACGGAGAAUGGGUCCGUGAAGUUCAACCUGAUUUAGGGCCUGGAAUCAGAGAAAGAGUAUGGGAAGCCCUAGGGACAACAGAUGAAAAAAUUGAUGUCUGUCAGUCUCUGAAGACUGAAUUUCGCUCGGCUCUUACUGAUCUUCUUGGGGUACUCUCUCCAUCUCUCUCUCCCAAAACUCACACAAGCAGCUAUACCAACAAAAUAGAAGACACCAUUUCUCCAUGAAUUCACGUUUGCCUGCAUUAAUCUUAGGAUUCUGGUGUCCUUGUGCUGCCAACGGUACCUGGGCCUCCACCAAAGCUGCAAACAGACCCUACUACACUUGAAAGUUUUCGUGCCAGGGCUUUUAGCUUGCUGUCCAUUGCUGGGGUGUCUGGUUUUUGCCAGGUGAUCCUCUCUUUCUCUCCCAUUGUGAUCUUAUCUUUUCCUUGAUUAUCAUCAGUCAUUUGGGAAAUUUUUUGUUCACUUUUGGGAAAUGGUUCAAUCCACAGGUGAGCAUACCACUGGGGCUGUAUGACAAUCUUCCUGUGGCAGUUUCCUUGUUGGCAAAACAUGGUUCUGAUGGCUUUCUACUCAAUCUUGUUCAGACCCUUUAUGGCAGUAUCAAAGAACAGGUUGAAGUAGCAGAGAAAACAAGUUACUGAGCUCAAUUGAAUCUCUUUGUACUAUUCAGUUCUAAACUCUAGUACCAACUUGAAUAACAAGGCUCUGUUUUGCAUGUCUUGUGCUUUGCAUUUCUCUCUAUUCACACAUAUGGGGUGUGUUUGAUACACUGGAAUGAGGAAUAGAAAUGAAUAUUUUGUUUGCGAUCCUAUUCCCUCGUGAAUAGGAAUGAAUUUGGUACGAAUGUAAGGUUGGAAUGAUAAUUUUUUUUCCAUUUCAAUGUUAUGUAAAAAUGGAAAUGAAAAAAAAAAAUUGUCUAUAAUAUCGUAUAUAUGGUUUAAAAUAAAUAUUUUUAUUUUUAUUUUUAUUUAAAAAAUUUUCAAAUUGUACAUAGUUUGAAAUAAUUUUUUAUUUUCAUUUAAAAAAAUCCUUGAGAAUUUUUUUUCUAAAUAAUAAUACCACUAUUUGGUUGUUAUUCUUUAAAAACAAUUUUUAAAAACAAAGUAAAAUAGAAAAUUGUUCUUCCAAUUUUUUUUAUUAGAGAAAAUGAAUUUCAAAUCAAGUGAAACUUUGUAUUAUAUGUAUUAAUAAGUUUAAUAAUUUUAAAAAAUAAUUUCAAACUCAAAAAAAAUAUAUACAUAUAAUCACUAUGAAAACUAAUGGACAUAAUUAAUAUUUUAAAAUUUUUAAUAAAUAUUGUAAUUUUUUAGAAUAAUUUAAAAUUCAAAAAACAAAUUGAUUAAUUAUAAAUUAAAUAAAAUAAUUGAAAAUGUCAUCUUGAUAAUUGAGUAAUAAAUGUAAGUUUAUAAUGAAAAAUUUGGCUCAUUUAUUUCUUAAAAAAUUAAAUAUUAUUCGUUUUUAUAUUCAUUGAAAAUAUAAUAGUACUAUUAAUUAUUGAUUUUGAAGAAUUAUUCUUUAUUUUUAACAAAAUAAAUCAAUUAAUGUUAAUAUCUAUAUUUUUAUAAUAUUUAUAAAAAAAUAUAAUUUAUAAUUUUAUUAUAUUAUUAAUAUUCAUAUUUUAUUAAAAACUAUUUAUUUUAAAUUUAUUUGUAACUAAAAAUUAUUUUUAUUUUUAAUAUGAGGUGAAUUAAAUUUAGUUUACAUUAUAUAAAUUAAAUUUAUAAUUUCUGUUUUUUACAAAAUCAAAAUAAAUAAAAAAUAUUUUUAAAGACAUAUCUAAAAAAAGUCUUCACAAAAUAAUGGUAGAACUCAAAGCUUCACAAAUAAGUUUGUAUGAAAUUAUAUAAGUGGGUCAAAAUACUCCUAAAGUUUAAAACCUUUCACAAAUUCAAGAUAAUUCAAUCUCUUUAAUUUCUUUCAUAUUAAUUAAUAUAAGAUAUAAAUGACACAUUUUUCAUUUAUAAUUACAAAUUCAACCCAUUAUGAUAUUUUUAGGCUUCCUCCACCAUAGCUUUUUAUUUCUUGUUUUAGUUGGAAGUUGAAAUCGAAGUCCAAAUUAUAAUUUUUUUUAAAGGAAAUAUUAACAUUGUAAAAUUUAAUUAAACAUGGAAAAAUAAAAUUUUCCUAACUUUCAUAUUCGGUUUUAUUUGAGUCAUAACUUAUUUUUCUUUUUUUCCUUUUUUUUUUUAUAAAAAAAAAGCUUUUGAUUUCUUAAAAAUUGAUUUUAAUCGGGUCUUAAUCCUAUAACUCUCAUGUGUAGCUAUAGAAUUAAUAAGAGCAUACAUAUACGAAGAAGGUUGCAAUUGAGUGAAUAUAAAAAUGUUAUAACAUUAGGUAAGUUAGGGAUUCUUGAGGGAUCCCAGAAUCAAGUUUGCAAUGUUUUAAAACAUUUUGAAGGGUGUAUAAGUGUGUAAAACUUCUUUUCUCAAAGAUUUGAAGUGACUAGGAAUAUCAAACCUAUUGCUUUAUGCAAUAUGACAUCUUUAUUGUGACUUAUGGUGUCACAACCUCACUCUCCACCUGAUAUUGUCUAGUUUGGUUUUACUUUUUUAUUAGACCUACACCCUUAAGAAAAGGCCUUGAUAGUGUGUUGUGAAAACCCUUCAUAUAUGGUUCUUCCUCAUCCACUCCUCGAGCGAUGUGAGACACUACAUUCCGCCCCCUUUGGAGCCUAGCGUCAUCGCUGACACACUUCCAAUCGAAUAUCAAUACCAUUUUGUCAUAGCCCCACUCUUCACCUAAUAUUGUUGGGUUUAGAGUUGCAGUAAUGCACACAUGUCCCACCAGUCGACAAUAGUUUUACUUCUUUAUUGAGCCUACGCCCUCAAGAAAAGACCUCGAUAGUGUGUUGUGAAAACCCUCCAUAUAUGGCUCUUUCACAUUCAUUCCGUAGGUAAUACGAAACACUACAUAUGGUAUUUAUGUUUGGUAUGAUAGGGGAUAUUACUUUCAUCCUUCUUGCACUAUGAUACCUUCAUUGUGGCAUCAAAUGAUAUGAGGUGGGGAGAUAUCAUAUUCACCCUUCCAUCCAAUACAACGCCCAUGUCUUAGUCUAUAGGGCUCGUGGAUGUAACAUACAUCCUUGUUAUAGCCAAUGAAGCUUCUUAUUGUCAAAAUUGCAUUUGUUUUUUUCUCAAAGACCAACAAUGAUAAUUGGUAUAGUAUGGUCUAUGUCAAAGUCAAAGAAUUUUAUGACUUUAAAACACGUUUUAUAAAAAUAAGAAGAAAUAUUUUUUUUUUCAAGUGCCAAAAACAUCUUUCUUCACUAGGACUAUGACCAAAAUUAUCUUUCAAUGUAAACCCAACUAUCCAAAUACUUCACCAAAGAGAGGUCAAGCCCAUGCCGGCCCAUUGUCAAAGCAAUCCAUCAUUCUCACAAAAAAUGAUCAAAAAGGUCCAAUUUUGUGAUCACCCCCAAAUUGAGUGGACUUAGAAAUGGGCCCACCAACAAGCCCGUGGUUCACGAUGAAGGUGGGUGAGAGUAUGAGAAUGGAGAGUGCCAUAAUAGUGUUCACUCAAAGCUUCAAACCAAAUAUAUAGACAUGUACUCAAGGUUGAAGCUUUGAAUUGUUUCCGGCUUGUGAACUCUAAACCCACGCUCCACUCACUGGCGCGUACACAUUUAGUAUCAAUUUAUGUACUAUUUUUAGAAACUCAUGAUUAAAUUUAUAUAAAAUGAAGAAAAAUCAUGAAAAAUCGACUUGGGUAAGUAUAGGUUUGAAAAUUUGUGGUGACAAUGCCAUCAAAGAAUUCCACGCGCCACCACCUCAAGUGGGGGGAGUGUCAGGGACUGUCAACACCCAAAGGGCCUAAAACAAACGAAGUCAAGCAUACGUCUCUUCUCCGUCACAGUCUCUCCCAUUCCCAGCUCUAACUUCCAGCGGUGUGAUCCAAUCACCCAUCAAAUAUUCGUAAAUAUAAAUUCUAAUCCACACCCACGAAUCUCCAUCACUUCAAUUCGUUUCUCCCAAAUUUCCAACGAGAAUGGAGGUCAGAGCUCGAGCUCCCGGGAAGAUCAUCCUCGCCGGCGAACACGCCGUCGUCCACGGAUCCGCGGCGGUGGCCGCUUCUAUCAAUCUCUACACCCACGUUUCUCUUCGAUUUCAUAGCAUUUCUGGUGCACCCGUCAAUCUUUUUUUCUCCUUUUGUUUUUAGAGUUAUGAUCAUGGCUUGUUUGGUUGCUCAGAAAAUAUGGGAAAAGGGAAAGAAAGUGAAUUUUUUUAUAUUCCGUUGAAUUUUUUCUCCUUUUGCUUUUUUCUAAUUGUGAUGAUUCAGACAAAUGUGGGAAAGGAAGACGGUGGAUCUUUUAAUAUUGGGUCAUUGAUUGGUUAUAAGUCGUUCCGGUGAAUCCAACGCUCUUUUGUGUCCUUUCUUGCACGAGUUUUGUUUGAAUCUAUAACUGUUUUUUGUUGGUAAUAGGAGAUGGAUUAGUGGCGCUGUGUUUGAUUGCUCAGAAAGUGUGGGAAAUGGAAAAAGAGAAAAGUUUUAAAUAUCGUCUUUGUUAUUUUUUUGUAUGUCUAUGAAAAAGACGGGUUUGGAAGCUCUAAUUAAUUUGGUUUGGUAGAAAUUAUCUGUUUAGUAGGGUGAUUAAUGAUGAUGAAGAGUGAUUAAUUAUUUGUGUCUCCUGGGAAAAGAGGGUUUGGGAGCUCCAAUUGAUUUUUGUUGAAAUGAUGAUCAGAAGAAACCCGUUUCUUUUCCUUCUUUCGGUAAGAAUUAGGAGAGUGAUCGAUGAUGAUGGAAACUGUGAUGAUAAUGAUCUGUUUGGUUGCUCAAAAAGAUGUAGGCAAGUAAAUCUUUUCAAUAUUGAGGUUUCCAUUGUUUGAAUCUUUAUCCAUGAGCUAACUUUUGCAUAGAUGAAAUUUUGCAUUGGAUUGAUUGGGAUUUGCUGCAAAUUAUGAUUGAGAGGACAUUGUUCAGGUUUUGUAUUAAUGGUUUUAUUUGAAAACAUUUUUGCUCUGAUUUUUUUUUUCUCUAAGCUACUAUUUUUUGUAAAAAAAGAAAAGAAAAGAAAAAUCACUGCAGUAAAUUUUUCAAGAUUGCAUUGAUUUGUUUUUGCCAAAAUAGAUGAUAAGAAAAAAAAAUGCAUUUUAAGAUUUUGUGCUAAUGUUUGUGGUCAGAGUGGAUUGUAGAAAUGUUAUUCUUUUAUUUAUGUUCAAUAUAUUUCAGACUAUUACAUUUGUUAAAAAAAAAAUUGAUGCCAAUUAUCAAAUGAUGAUCAGUCGGAUAUGGAUCUGAUAUAGUAUGUUCUCUUUUUCCUGAUAUGGUUUUGUUCAUUUCUUCUUGGUUUUCUGUUGACUGUACCUCUAAUUAGUAUUUUUUAAUAGACGAUGAUCAUACCUUAAAACUCCAUCUCAAGGAUAUGGCAUUGGAAUUUUCAUGGUCAAUUGAAAGAAUCAAAGAAGUACUACAAGAAGUAGGUUGUCCCUUCUCGUCGACGCCUACAACAUGCACUCCAGAGUUCAUUAAAUUGAUUGCAGCUCUACUUAUAGAGCAGAACAUUCCAGAGGCAAAACUUGGACUUGCUUCUGGAGUGUCCGCCUUUCUCUGGCUGUACACCUGUAUCCAAGGGUAUUCCCUUAUUAUUAGUUUCUAUUGUCAACUAUUCCCCUGUUAUUGUUUGCUUUUCUGAUUUGGUUCCUUAUGUCUCAGGUUUAAGCCUGCUACAGUGGUCAUCACUUCUGAGCUUCCACUUGGUUCAGGCUUGGGUUCAUCUGCCUCAUUCUGUGUCUCACUCUCAGCUGCCCUGCUUGCAUUGUCAGAUUCUGCAAGUCUAGAUUUUAGCCACCCAGGUUGGUCAGUAUUUGGGGAGAAUGAGCUUGAAUUGGUAAACAAAUGGGCCUUUGAAGGUGAAAAGAUAAUUCAUGGAAAGCCAUCUGGAAUUGACAAUUCAGUUAGCACAUUUGGUAAGGAAUCUUUCUGAUAGUGUAGAUAAAUUUAUAAUUGUUGUCUUUCAACAUUUUAUGUACAAUCAGUCUCCCUCUUUUUCCUGACUAGGAUCUGGCCGCUAUUUGAUGUCUGGAACAAGUUGGAAUUUAAUAAGCUUUCAUAGUGAAAGAGUUGAAAGAAUGGUGGUUUAUAAAAAAUGGCAAGUAUUUUGAGAAAAACUUACAAAUGCAGUGCAUUUUGUGGAAAAGGAUGUCUGUGUUGCUGUCGUGGAAUUCUCUCUAAUAAUUUAGGAUUUCCCUCCAAUAAUUUAGGAAUUCCAAAUCCUUGGAAUUUGUUUCUGAUGUACUUAUGUAAUUUGUGAGCUGGUGAAAUUUAUAUGAUAACACUAGGUCAUGUAGCAUAUGUUUGACAUGGUCCUGGGUUCGAAUUCAAUCAUUGAUAAUACCUUGAAUUUAACUGGUGCUAAUUGUUGCAAGGCAGUCAGCACCCCAAGGUUUGGGUCCCCGUGGAGAGUUUUAAGGGCUUGGCCAUGAAAGAUUCCUCGGUUAUUAAAAAGAAAAACAAAAUGUUUUAGAAGCUUUAAAAAUUUCAAAGCAAUUUGUCACCUCUUUCCUUGUCACACACCAAUCCGCAUGCACACAUUGUCUUGUGCAGAGAAUGAUAUAACAAGAAUAAAAAAAAGAACUGUCAAUAUCUGGAUCUUUCAUUCAGCGCAAUAAGAUGCUUUUAUUUUAUUAACCAAAGAAUAUGUAGUUUUUUUUAUCUUGAAAAUCCUAGGCGGUUGCUUCUUUUUAAAUAUUUAUGUGAUAAAAAAGGUUUAUGAAACAGGCAACAUGAUCAAGUUCAAGUCAGGUAGUUUGACGCGCUUAUCCUCCAAUAUGCCACUCAAAAUGCUUGUUACCAACACAAAAGUUGGGAGGAACACAAAAGCAUUAGUUGCUGGUGUCUCAGAGAGGACCUUAAGGCAUCCAAAUGCCAUGAAAGCUGUGUUUAACGCAGUUGACUUUAUCAGCGAGGAAUUGUCCACUAUCAUUCAGUCUCCAGCUCCUGAUGAGCUCUCCAUAACUGAGAAGGAAGAGAAGCUAGGAGAGUUGAUGGAAAUGAAUCAAGGUUUGCUCCAAUGUAUGGGGGUCAGCCAUGCUUCCAUAGAAACUGUGCUUCGAACAACAUUGAAAUACAAGUUGGCUUCGAAGCUGACAGGAGCUGGGGGUGGAGGCUGUGUUUUGACGCUAUUGCCAACCCGUAUCCAUUUUCAAAUUCUGUUUAUAUUUGGUGGUAUCAUUCUUGUGAUGGCACCCUUAAUUUCAAUCUUUUCCCAUUGCAUGCUUUUAUAUUCUAUAAUGAAUUCCAUGAUUAAAUAUUAGUUAGGGGCAUAUUUGUAGAAAAGACAUGCGAUAUAAGAUAGGAUACAUACAUGACGCACACAGAUUUUUCCAUUUAAUAGUUAUAAGAGAAUUUACUUUUGAACAUUUAAAAAGAAGAGUAGAAUUAUUUAUAAGGUAAUUUAAGAUUUUGAGGCUUGCUUUCUGUAAUAAAAGUUAAAAACAUCUAACUCAUGUUGCAUCCAGUGAGGAGUGGUUUGACAUUUCCUUUACAAGGUUUUGAGACUUGGUUUCUGUAAUAAUAGUGCAUGGAAGCAUUAAUUUAUACUUGCAUGUGUAUUCCUUUUUGUGAAUUGGUUGCAGACUGCUUGGAACCUUUGUUAUAUUAUUAGCUAGUUAUAAACUAGUUGAAACUAGAAAGCAUAAGUAAAAGUUAGUAGGUUUACCUUUGUGGAUUUUAUAAUGAAUUAAUGCAAUGAAAUGUCAUUAAUGUGUGCAUCCGAAUAAUACGAUUCAAUAUAUGUUUUUGCCUUUUCAAACAUUAUAUCUUCUAUGAAAUUGUUUAUUUAUAGCUUUGUCCCUCAUUGUUGCAAUAUAUAUCUGUUUUAUAAUGAAAUUUCUUUUAUGGUACACCAUACAGAAAUAUUGGAAAUUGAUUACUAUAUGCAAGUUGACAACUAUUGUUUGGAGGCAUUAAUUGUUUCUGAAAAUAUAUGUGAUUUUCCCCUUUAUUUGCCUUGGUACCUCGUAUGUACAAUUUUGAUUCUUACAGUGGCAGGUUGCUUCAUUGAAUAGGUUUGCCAUAUGUGCCUAAUAUUAUGCUAUAAAUGAAGUUUCAUGCAUCUAGUUUGAUUUGUUUUGGGGCUACUACUUUGCAGAUGAAUAAAAUCCUUAGCAUAGAGCUCAAAACUUUACCUAGAACUAGGAUAAAAUUAGAAUAAUGAGUUGGAAUCCUUGUUUAAAUUGAGACAAACAGAAUUUUUUGGUUGCGUGCCCACAGAACUUACCUGGUUAAUGCAAAUAUUUGAUGAAUGGAUCUGUACUUGGCUAUAGUUGGGAGUGUAAGAACUUGAAAGGACCAUAAUAGCAAACUGCUUUACAAUCCUAAGGAAUUGAAUCUAGCUAGAGAUGGGGUAAGAGAAGGGUGAUGAGUGGGUCAUUUAGUUUAUCAUUUCAAGAAGCUUAGACUUGGUUGUAAAAUGGAAAUCCCAAGGAAUGUGACUCCGGUGCUGAGGAUUAGAUAAGAAAAGUAGCUAAAUAGCUUCAUGUGGGCAGACUCAAAUAGUUGGGAGGGCUUGAUUUAGAGCUGGUCUAAGAUUUUUAUAAAUGAGUCUUUCAAGUAGAAACAAUUUGAACAGAGCUCAAGCUGCUGGUAGUAAACAGGAGCAAUCAUGGUAGAUUUAGACAGAUUUUGCCUAGAACAGAUAACCCUCAUCAUUUUUUGCCCUCAUGCAAGUGCACGACUGAAAGCUCUUUCAGAAACAAUUUGCUUGGCUGUAGGGACAAUCUCAUAUAUGUUACAAUUCAGAAUAAUGACAGGAAAAUGAAACUAGGCAGCAGUCGAACAAAUUAAGCUGAACAAUCCAUAUAUGGCCACAGAAACAUGUUAUUUUCUCAGCUUCAAUGUGGCUGUAGUCAUACAAACCAAUAUUUUUUGUUUCUAAAUGUCAUUCUCUCUCUCUUCUCUUUCUCUUUCUUCAUUUGUUCCCCUUGACUACAUGAUACAAGUGCUAUCAGGAACGGUUGUUAAUAAAGUAAUAGCUGCGUUGGAGUCAUGUGAAUUCCAAUGUCUUAUCGCUGGAAUCGGCGGGAAUGGUGUUGAGAUUUGCGUUGGUAGUUGUUCAUCCUGAUUUUCUCAGAGGAAGCAAUGAAGCACAGUAAGCUUGUAACAGCUAUAUUUCAUUGAUGCUGUUGUGUUUCUGUGUACAUUAAUUUUAGAGUCAAGGAGGAAUAACCAUUCUUCCUGGUUCAUGGACAUUAUGAUAAAAGAAAAUGACUGUAUGAAUUCUUAAUAAUGGCCUGAUCCUCCUUCAUGUUGUAAGGUUGUAGUUUAAUUGUAGCACACACUGCAAGCUUUUAACGAGUCCUUUCUCCUUUGCAGUAAAUCCACUCUUUUAUUUUGAGGUAUUGGCUUCAAGGUUAUGUAUGGUUCUCAAAAAAGUAUUAAUGAAAGAAACCCCAAGUAGUCUGGUUCGUCUUGAUUUUCAGUAGGUGGCACAUAAUAAAUAAAAUAUUAGACAUAAAAAUUAUCUUUAAAAUAUAUUCAAAAAUAUUUAAAAUUUUAAGUUUUCAAAUAAUUUUUUAUCAUACUAAACGAAAAUGGUUUUAAAAUUAAUUUUAUAUAUAUGUAAUAUAUAAAAUUAAUAGGAUUUGCAUGGAAAUGUUAUUCGAAAACAAUUUUUAUAAAAUAGUUCUCAAAAAAUAAAUAUUUUAUGAAAAAAAUAAUUUAAAAAAUUUGACAAAUGGAAAAUUGUGGAUGAUGCUCAAAUUGUUUCUGUGAUUUUUCUUUAUUAAAUUAUUAAAAUAUUUAAUAAAAUAAAUCAUUAAUUCAUAAGGAGCAUAUGACCCAUCUCAAAAAAUGAUCUUCAAUUAAAUGUACCACAAAUAAAAGCCACUGAUGAACAUGUUCCAUUCAUCAAUCUGUUAGAUAUCCAAGGUACUGCUGCCUUUUAAACCCACUGGUUAAUGGGAGGUCUCCCAAGUUAGAUUCUAAAGCUUCACCAGACAAAUUCUUGCCACAAACCAAAGUUCCAUUUAUUUCAUGUAUCAAACACAUCAUAUUCCCCUUGCCACAAAAGUAUCAAAACCCUAGUUCCUUACAAACAAAACCCAUCUCUAUAUACCAGGACUUGUUCAUCCACAAAUCCCCAAGAACACACAAAAUUCUCCCUUUUGCAAACCCCAUCAAGCAUUCACCACAACCCCACCUGCAAAACCAAAAACCCAUCAAAACAAAGUCAUCAAAACCCCAUCUUGAAAUCUUAAAAGCUUAAAUAUCCAAAACCCUAAAAGAAAAACUUACCAUUGGGGUGGAGAACUUGACCAGAAAUAUAGGAGGAGUCUGCAUGGGAGGCCAAGAAGACAUAUGAGGGUGCAACCUCACAUGGCUGGCCAGCCCUGCCCAUGGGUACUUCAGACCCAAACCUUGCACACUCCUCUUCACUGAAGGAGGCUGGUAUGAGUGGAGUCCAGAUGGGUCCAGGGGCCACACCAUUAACCCUAAUUCCUUUGGGUGCAAGCUGCAGCGCCAGUGAUCUGAUGAAAGCCACAAUGGCACCUUUGGUGGAUGUAUACUCUAUCAGUUUAUUGUUUCCUUUGUAUGCAUUGAUUGAGGUGGUGUUUAUGAUGCUGCUCCCUUCCUGCAUAUACUUCAGAGCAUGCCUAAUAUAUAUCACCACCAAAUAACGGUCAUCAGUUAGUGGGUGUGUUUGGUUCUUGGGAAAACAGAAAGAAAAUAGCAGUUCAUGGACCUGGUCAAGAGGAAGUAAGAAAAGAUGUUGGUUCUGAACACCCUCUCCAGCCGCUCCUCGUCGAUCUCCUCCACCGAGCACGACUUGUACUGCUCGGCCGCGUUGUUCACCAGAAUGUCUAUCCUCCCGUACGCCGCCACCACCUCCUCCACCACCCUCCGGCAGUUAUCAUCGUACCCCAGAUCCGCAGCUAUCGCUAUCGGCUCCUUCGCAUCGUCCCUCUUCGCCUUCCUUAUCAUCUGCAGCGUCUCCUGCGCGUCCCUGUCCUCCUGCACCUUCACGUACGUGAAGGCUACGGUGGCCCCCUCAAGCGCAUACAGGUAGCAGACGGCUCUGCCGAUGCCAGAGUCGCCACCGGUCACCAGCGCUACCUUGCCUUGGAGCUUGUGGGCAGGCCUGUAGUCUGGGUUUAUAAACUGCGGGGUGGGGGUCAUCACGUGCUCCUUCCCUGGCUGCCUCUCCUGCCUCUGGGGUGGAAACUGCUGGCCGCCACCGGAAGCCAUUGUCCUCUGCAACAGUGCUCUUCUGGGGUUAUCUCUUGUCGCCGGUAAGCCUGUACGGACAGGCGGAAACUCCAAUCUCAGGUGAGUGACACAAGCUAGUGAUGAGACUGGUCUCGAUGAAGAGAGAAUGCUAGAGAACAUGGAAAUUUAUGGGGUAUGGGGGUGGUGGAGCUAAGCUUUCGGCUUUAUAGUGAGGUGGAAACGGCGCGUGUGGAUACGUGGCAGACCUGGCGUCUACGUGUCGCGUCGAUCGCAUGCGGCGGUCACGUCCUCCGAAAUGGGCCCUUUGCCUGAGCUCAUGGGGCUUCCCUUAAAUUAUUAUUUUUUAUAAUAAAAAUUAAAUUAAAUUUACUGUGAAAAAAUUGUUCUGGAUUAAAAUUUUCAUAUUUUACUAAAUUAUAUAUUUUUAUAUUUUGUUUUCUAAAAUUCCUAUCAAAUCUUUCUAAUUGAUUUGAAUUUUGACUUUUACUUUUAUACAUUUCUAGUAAAAAACGAUUUUUUAAAAAUAAUUAUUUAUAUUUUUUAAACAUAACUUUCAAAAAUUAAUGGCAAGAAGGAUCACCCUUAUUCCAAUUUAUUUAAAUUAAUUCUCAACCUUAUUAAAAAAUUUAAACGAGUUAAGGUUGGUAUAAGAAUUCUCAUACCCAUCCGUCCAACCAUGUUUAAUUUUUUUUCAAUUAAAUUUUUUUUCUUCAUAUUUUUAUUUUUUAAAUAUUAAAUUUUAUUAAAAAUAAAUAUUAUACAUAUUUAUAAUUUAUUUUUAUAAAAAAUAUUUUAUAUAUAUAUAUUAAAAAUUGAAAAUAAAAAAACAAUUAAAAUAUAUGUUGCCAUCCUGUUGGAAAUGUUUUUAAAUAUUUAUUAAAAAUAAUUUUUUUCCUUUUUUUCAAUAUGUUAGGAAAGCGUCAAACAAAUCUCAAAAAAAAAAAAAAACAUGUUUUUGAAAAUAAUUAAUAAUCAAACAUAGGAAAUACUAAAUAUAUACCUUCUGUAUUUUCUUUUUCUCUCUCAUUUUCUCACAACUUUCUCGGACAACCCUAAUUAGAAGUUGAGUUUAACAGAGUCAGAGAUGGGAACACUUGGCUGAGGAAGGAGAGCAAGAAAAGUGGGUCUUAAGGUAGUUUUGCAUGUUGGCCACAUGUAGUGCUCUUCCAAUUGACACCUUCAACCCUUUCUUCUCUCCUAUUUUCUCCCUAUUUAACCAACCCCCCACACUCGUUUUCACUCUCUCUACCCCCACAUGCAAAUCCACAACCCAAACCAGAAAUAUUGAUCCUCUUCUUCCUCCUCUCUCUCUCUCUCCUCCGGUUAUAGAGCUCAACAAUGGCUUCUCUUCUUCAACUCAGUACCCUCUCCUUCUUUCUGGUUGCUCUCUCCAUACAUUUCACAUCUACUCCAGUCCAUUGUGAUGGUAAUCAAUUUCUUUAAUUUCAUCUUCUUCUCUCUUUCGUAUGACCUUUUUGUAUUUAUGGUUGAGAAUGUCAAGUGUGGGUCAUGGUAUUCAUUUCACUCUUUGUCUUUUUCUUUUCUUUCUUGAGAUGCAGCUGAGGAUGACGACCUUCUUCAAGGCCUCAACAGCUACAGAACGGCCAGAAACCUCUCGACCCUGGUCAAGAACGACAAGGCGGAGUGCCUGGCGGAGGAGCUGGCCGGGGAAUUAGAGCAUCAGCCCUGCACCGCUGCCGUCCCCGCCACCCCGCAGCUCCAGCUCGCCAACUACCCCAGCAUCCUUAAGAAGUGCAAAAUCGACAUCAACUACACCAGAGACGGUGUCAUCAUGCAAGUCUGUGUCCCCCACAGGGUCCCAACCCUCGUCCUCACCAACUUCACCCAGUCUCACUACUCCAGGUACCUCAACGACAGCAAGUUCACGGGCGUCGGCGUCGGGUCAGAGGACGACUGGGUGGUGGCCGUCCUCAGCACCAAUGGCAUCGAGGGGAGCUUCAGUGGGGCUUCCAGGGCUGCCAUGGAGCUGGGUUUGAUGAUGCUCAGCCCCUGCUUGGUGGCUUUGCUUUUGGGAUUAUUUGUUGCUAUGGUGAUCAACUGAGACUGAUGGGGUGUUAGGGCUGUGUUUGGUUGUUUAAUCUUUUGUUUUUGUAGCUUUAUUUUUCAGGUUGAUGACCAGUUUUCAGUGUAAUGUUAAUGCGUUUUUUCCCCCUUAAUUUCUUAUGUGUAUGAAUGGUAAUAUAUAGAAUUCCAAGUUCAACUUGGGUUUGAAGCCCAAAAGAGUCAAAAGACCCGUCCAAAUUUAGUUAGGGCAGACUUGGGUCGAACACGUUUGAAAAAGCCCGAAAUGGCUCCCAAGCCCAAAUUUAGGUGGGCAUACUUGAGUCUGACAGAUUCAGAAAAGCCCAAAAUGGCUCAAGCUUGACUCGACCCAAAUUUAGGUAGGGCAAGCUUGAGCCGCUGUUUAUUUCCAAACCCAUUUAAACUUCAACCCGAUUGGAUCCUCGAGCCUGUUCAAAAAACCGAUCUAAAAGUUCAUAAUUAGAUUAAGAGUGUGUUUGAUAAUGAUUUUAAGAAAUGCUUCUAGUUUUUUUAACGUUUAAAUCAUAAAUCUUUUUAAUUAUUAUAAGUGAUUGAAACGUUUUCUAAAUUCACCAUCAAAUGGACUUUAAACUAAUUGAAAAGAUUAUAAUUAGUCAAGUUCACCAAAAACCUUCAAUAAUUUAAAGUUACCCUUAAUCUUUGUAUAUUACAUUUGCAAAUUUUACUUUGUGAUUUUAUUACGUAUUCUUGUUUAAUAUUUAAUGGUGGUGGAUGUGUAUUUAUAUUGUAAUCAUGUCAUAAAUAUUAUCAAUUCACCAACAAUAGUGGAUUAAAUUACACUUAUACCCUUGAUAAGAUGUAAAAUUUGGAAUUUUAAUAUAAUUUAUAAUUUGGAUUUUUUUUUUCAUUUUGGUUGGUAUUAUCUUAAAAUAUUAAACAUUUUAAGCAUAGUUGAUUUAGUUAACGAUGUUAAUAUAAAAUGGUAAAUCUUUUAAAAUUAUUUAAGACCAGCAAUAUAUGGCAUACAUAUGGAGUUAAUUUAACCUUUUUUUUAGGUACAAUCACUUAUCGAAGAUACUCAUUAAGACCUAAACAAACUCGUUUAGGGCCUUUAUUUCAAGCAAUAACUUUUUUUUUCUUUUUUUAUUUUAAGAAAAGAACAAAUAAUUACCAUUUAAAGGCCAGGAAAGGAUCACUAACAAAAUAUUGUAUUUGUAUCGUAAUUUAGAUUCCACAUGAGGCCAAUCUUAACUCUUAAUUCAAUGACCCAAUUUUUUGUAAAGAUACAUAUGACAUGAUAUUAUAAUGACACUCAUACCAUAUGAAGUGAUUGUCACAUGGUAGAGAAAUGGUAUCUUGAAUCUUACAGUAAUUAGAAAAUAAGAUAAUGACACUCAUACCAUAUGAAGUGAUUGUCACAUGGUAGAAAUGGUAUCUUGAAUCUUACAAUAAUUAGAAAAUAAGAAAAUAAAUUAAAUAAAUGAUAUUGUCGUAGUUAAAGGUCUUCAUUGUCAUCAUGGGAGUGGGACAUGAGGGUUGUACAUCUAAAUAAUUUUCAAUCAAAUUUGGAAUCCAUAUUAUGUAAGAAGACAUUGUUUUUGUUAAUUCGAAUUGAAGGGUGAUAUAAAAUCAGUCUAUUGUCGACAUCAUAUCUAUAGUUAGAGCAUUCAUCACAAUUAGUAGCUCUAAUUCCAUAUCAAAGUCACGAUCGAUAACAUCACUAGCAUCAAUAUGCUAUAUAAUCCGUACCCAUUUGUAACUCUCCCUUGUGAUGUUAUGAGAAAUAUCUAUAUAUAUAGGAAAACUUCGGAUUACUAAAUUACUUUUUUGAAAUACCUAAGAUAAAAAAUAAUAAAAAAACUAGUCAUUUCACCGUUCAAUUAUUUACUCCAAGUCAUGAAUGAAACCACACUAAAAUCGAGAAUCAUUUCAUUUUAAACAUAAAAAUCUUUCACAUUUUUUUUUAGUGGUUUAUAGACAGUUUUUAGCAGUUCCAACUCCUAUAAAUAGUUCUCUUUGAUAUUUUAUUUGGUUGGAUCAACCUAACUUUAACACUCAACCAACUCCAAUAAUAUAUAUAUAAUUAGAAAAAAAGAAAAUAAAUUGAACAAAUGAUAAUACUAUAAUUAAAAACUUUGGUCAUCAUCAUGAGAGUGGACACACGAGGGUCCUACAUUUUAAUGAAUUCCAACCAAAUUUCCCACAAGUGGGGACUUUGAACCUUGGGAAGAAAUAAUAAUGUUGAAAAUUUAUUUAUUUAUUUAUUUAUUUAUUUAGGAGAAUUAGCUUGUGGGUGUGUCUCAUUCCACAAUAACCCAUGCCCCAUUUACUUUUUUGUUUUUGACUAGACCAUGGUGGACAUUGUGGUCCAUUGGGAUUUGGCUUAAGUUCAUUUGUCACUAAUCAAUCCUAAUAGUAUGGCUUUGGUUAUGAAUUUUUUAGUGGGAAAUUUUGAAUCGUGUAUUUUUUAUUUUAAAAAAUGAAAAAUAUUUCUCAUUUUCUCAUUGGAAAUAAAUUUAUUUAUUUUUGGAUCAAAUUCUCAUCCAAAUAUAUUUUUUAAUAAUAAUUUUUUGGAAUCAAAUUUAAUAAAAAAAUUGUUAAUUUGGGAAUUUUGUUAUAAUUCAUUAGUGGGCCAACCCGAAUCCAGUUGGCUCAACUGGAUUGUGGGUCCCUUUUAAACUUUGCCAGCUGCAACUACAGUGAACGGCAUGUGCGCACAAGCCUAACGUGCGCACCAAGCACCACCCACAAAAACGAUACGUCAGAGAGAGGAACACCUUCAGGGCUUCAACCAUGGCGGCGAUUUCAUCCGUCCACGACGGCGACGAGGGUUUUGGGGAUUUCAAAUUCGCCUCCUUCCCAAAUCCGACCGUCCAUUUCAAUCAGAUUAACGGCACAGAUUUCACCGACGAUGAAUGGGGCGAUUUCGUCGUACAUCCACUCUCCAAUGUACUCUCCCACAUUCAAUCAUCGUCCAACCCCUCCCAAACCGCAAAGCCCUUCGACCCUUUUGGUUUCUUCCCCAACGAUUCAGCGAAGCCCUCCGAAUCGGUGGUGAGCUGCGUGGACUCAGUGCCGACUCGAUCUGAAUCCGAGAAGAAACAGUGGGUUAAGCCUCAAGGUGCCUUGCCGUUAUCGAUCUUUGGGGAGGAGGAGGAGGAGAAGGAAGAGAAGGAAUCUGAUUCCUCCGAGCCCGCGCAGACUUUCGAUCACAAACGAGUCGAUUCUGCGAAGCACGGACCGAAGGUGGAUCCGGUUGUUGGGAUUAAUGAUAUUCUUUCAAAUUUGUACAGUCAGAAUCAGCAGAUCAAGGGUGAAAAUGGGUCGCCUGCGGUCUCUAAUGGGCGGAAUUUGAACUCAAAUUCGGAUUCAAAUACGUUGCAUGCGGAUUUGGUUGAUGGGGAUGAUGGUUUUGAUGAUGAUGAUGGAUGGGAAUUCAAGGGUGCCGUCUCUGAAAAUUCUAAGGUAAUGUUUCAGUACUUGUUGUUUAUGAUGGGUUGUGCAUAAGAUUGGGGGGAAGAAAAAGUUAUAAAAUUUUGAAUGUGAAUUAUUUUGCGGUUCCCCUUAUGCAGAAAAACUGAGACAAAUAUAUAUAUAUAUAUAUAUAUAUAUAUAUAUAUAUAUAUAUAUAUAAUUUAUGUAGUUUUUGCUUUCUUUAUGCUUGGUUGGUGUCAAACGUGAGGGAGAGAAGAAAUUAAAUUUUUGGGCAUUAAGGUGCUUUGUAGUUAACCCCUUGCUCGGUUGUGAAGAAUGUUGAGGAGCAAAAGAACUGCAAAUUUUGAAUAAGGACGUUGGAGCUCAGCUUUUAUAGUUCACCUUUUUUCCUUUAUCUUUCUUUUCUGAGAAAAAUGAGGAGCAAAAAAAAUUUCAAACUUCCAGCUUUCUGUUGUUUUGGUUUGGGAAAAAAAGGACCUACUGUGAGGUGAGCCAAAUAGUUAUGCUAGAGAAAAUCUGAAUGGAUGUUUUUGAAUAAUAAAACAAACUAAUGUUAAAAAUUUUGAAGUUCUUUUCUAGUCCUCCGGAACCAAAUGAAGCAUUAGAAAAAAUAUGAUUGUUUUUUUUUUCCUGUUCAUGUCAGGUACAAGUGGGUUCAGGAUUAUUAGGACUGGAAGUUGAGACAACAGUAAAGCAAGAAAUGCAGGCGGGUAUUGUUUAAUUUUAUAUAUUUGUAUGUUGUUUGUGUUUUCAUGAUCAAUUUGUAUUGGAGAAUUCAGUGUUGUGUGUGUAUAAUUAUCCGUAAAAGAAAUCAGUUGAUCUAUUAAGAAUCUUGUUGCUACUUGUUUAGGGAGAGCAUUUUGUCUGUAAAGCUGACAUUUUCUUGGUUUAAAUGUGAUGGAAAAGGGCAGGAAAAUCCUGGUGGAGGCAAAUACACAUCUGGAUUUUGCAAUGCUUUGGAUGGUUCUAGAGAUUUCUUUGCUGCACCAAAUGGGCUUUGGCAAGAAAGUUCUAAUGGAGCCAAACGCAUGUCUGGUUUUCACAAUGCUCCUGAUAGCUCGGGUGAUUUCUGUGCUGCUUCAAAUGGGCUUUGGCAGGAAAAUUCUGAGGGAGCCAAAUAUGCAUCUGGGUUUCACCAUGCUCCUCAUAAUUCUAGUAGUUUCUUUGAUGCAUCAAAUGUGCUUUGGCAGGAAUCUGAGGGAACCAAAAACACAUCUGGGUUUCACAAUGCUCCUGAUAAUUCUAGUGGUUUCUUUGAUGCUUCAAAUGGGCUUUGGCAAGAAUCUAGGGGAUCUGGGUUUCACAUUGCCUCUGGUAAUUCUAGGGAUUUGUUUGAUGCAUCAAAAGGGCUUUGGCAGGAACCUGAGGGAGCCAAACACGUAAGUGGGUCUCACAAUGGUCCAGAUAGUUCUAGUGAUUUCUUUGAUGCAUCAAAUGAGCUUUGGCAGGAAAAUCCUGAGGCAUCAAAACAAGUAUCUGGGCUUCACAAUGCUCCAGAUAAUUCUGGUGUUUUAUUUGCUGCAUCGACUGAACUUUGGCAGGAAAAUUCUGGAGGAGAAAAU
rnacentral:lncRNA from 1 species